AACUUAAAGGAAUUGACGGGGGCCCGCACAAGCGGUGGAGUAUGUGGUUUAAUUCGAUGCAACGCGAAGAACCUUACCUGGUCUUGACAUCCCGGAGACCCUUAGGAAACUAGGGGGUGCUUCCAUCUGGAAGAAUCUGGAGACAGGUGCUGCAUGGCUGUCGUCAGCUCGUGUCGUGAGAUGUUGGGUUAAGUCCCGCAACGAGCGCAACCCUUGCCUUUAGUUGCCAGCAGUUCGGCUGGGCACUCUAAAGGGACUGCCGGUGUUAAACCGGAGGAAGGUGGGGAUGACGUCAAGUCCUCAUGGCCCUUACGGCCUGGGCUACACACGUGCUACAAUGGUCGGUACAAAGGGUUGCCAAGCCGCGAGGUGGAGCUAAUCCCAUAAAACCGAUCGUAGUCCGGAUCGCAGUCUGCAACUCGACUGCGUGAAGUCGGAAUCGCUAGUAAUCGUGAAUCAGAAUGUCACGGUGAAUACGUUCCCGGGCCUU
rnacentral:rRNA from 1 species